UAGCUUAGUGGUAGAGCGUUUGCCUAGCAAGCACAAGGCCCUGGGUUCGGUCCCCAG
rnacentral:tRNA from 1 species